rnacentral:lncRNA from 1 species
GAAUUAGGAGCUCAGAAAUUACUGGAUUUCACUUUUAAAAGAUCCAUAUUUCAUCAGUAUCAUGGAUUAUAUAGUUGUUCGUGAGGUAGCCUGAUAACCUAACUAUUAUUUACAUUGUUACUCACAUGAGAAAGUAUAUGUACAAGUUUCAGAGACCACAUCCAGUAUAUAAUAACCUUUUAAAUAGAGAUCAUUCAUAAACUGGAAUCUGCCUAGACAGCCUCUGGCCAAAAUCAAGUCCAUUUCCUCAAACUUGGCCUUUCUUAGUAUCAGAAAUUAGACUUUGACACAUUCCACAUGCAGUGAUGUUAAACAUCUUUUAUCAGCUAGCUUUUUCUCUGUUGAGAAGUAAGAUCCACUUAUCAUCUGAUGUUAUGGCAGCCUCAGGGCUGAUGACUGAGCUCUGGAGUAUAUGCUGAACCCAGCACUGAAAAGCACUCUAGAUAAGAAAACUUUAUGGUUUGUUGACUGGUUUAUGGUAACCAGUCUGUCCACAGUUUGGGUCUUAAUUUUAGAUUUUACUGACCACCAUACACAAAGUAAGUUUGGGGAAAUUUUUUGUGUAAAUUAUGCCUAAAAUAGAUCCCAUGCUUCUUUAGGUUUUAUGCAUUUUCUCAAAAUACAGGCUCAAGUUUCAUAGCAGAUGAUUUGCUCUUCUUCUCUACCAUGAAAGAUUGAGUUUGUUGUUGAUAAAGCAAACUGUCUUAUGUGAAAACACUGUAAAUUGUAAAGUAUUGUACAAUAAAAAAUUUAAUUAUCUUAGACCUUGGUUUGUUAUGUAAUUUAUACAGAUAAAGAUAAACUUUGCCUCUUCUCUGUUCUUCCAUUUAUAGGAGCCAGGCUAAAUGGGAACUUCCAUAUGCUGUGUGUGAGGCCAUGGAAAGCUAAAUAAAUAAAUAAAUAAAUAAAUAAAUAAAUAAAUAAAUAAAAUGUUGUUUUUGUUAGGUAUGAUGAGGCCUGUUAGAAAGAUCAUUUAUUACUCACAAAAGGCAGAAGGCAAAGAGAGCUAGGGGAAGUGCGGGAAAGCCUUUGUUGUGGUUUUCUUGGGAAUGAAUGGGGUACUAUAGGAAUGCACAGCUUGUAGUGAAAUUAUACUGUUGUAGAAACAUGUGUCCACUAGAGGUCACAUCAUGCUUUUAUAUUGCUUCCUGUGAAACUACGGUU